AUGGGUACCACACUCAGCUGGGGGCUGGAUCACCUCAGAGGUUGGGGCAGAACAGGGCUGGGGAGAUGAGUAGGGAAAGUACAAACCCUAGAAUGUCUUUAAUGGUACAGUAUGGGUGGAAGGGGAUUUUCUUGCAGUCUGAGGGGAUGCCUAGUGGGUUAUUUGAGCCUGUUUCGUGGAGGAAGGUGAGAUGGACAAGUUUGUCCCCUCCACCCCGUGCACAGAGCUGGGACUGGUGGCCAGGAACCCCCAUCCCAGUGGCUGUUUGACCUCAGAGAAUGCACAGCAGUUGGUGGUGAGUGUGGCCAACCUAUGACUCUGCAGCCACAGAAUUGGCUACGCCCACCCUCUCCCAAUUUUUGUGUCCUUGGGGGGCUUCUGCUCUCACUCCCUGUUCCCCCCAAGCCCAGGGUGGGCAGUGCAUGGCUGGGCUGGAGUCUGGGGCAGCAGGAGGGAGGUGGUGGGAGACCCCCCUGGCUCCUUUAAGAACCCACGAGCGGCUCCAGAAAGCGGCUCAAGGUCACAGCGGGAACCUGCGGACUUGGCAGCAGCCAGCGAGGGAGGAGGGAUGGAGGGAGGGAGGGAGAGAAGGAGGCAGCCCGAGAUCAAAAUGAAAUCACAGCCAGGGAGAGGGGCUGGCUGGCAGCACGGAGCAGGCAGCAGGGAAAGGGGGAGCAGCUGAGCAGGACAUGAGGGGAGUCCCACCCAUGGGUGUCCCCCUGGGAUUGCUGCCGCCCCAACCCCAGCACAGAGCUCUGAAGCUUCUCUGUGCCCCCAGCUCAGAGCCCUGGGCCCUCUGCAGCUCCAGCCAAUGUGCCCAUGGUGAUUCAAGCCAAGGAAAGUCCCUUUGUGCCCCCGGAGCCACCCUGGGAGUGCUGGAGUCACUUCCCUCCCGCGGGACUUCCUGGGCUCCACAGGAGGUUUUCCAGCUCCAGGAGGGGCAGGGCAGGAGGAAGCUGCUCCUGGCCGGGAGAACCUUUGGAACCACCCUCACCAGAGACCACAGUGGACAAAAUCAAAUCUUUAAAGGCUCAAGGAGCUCGGCACCAUUAACAUUCACUCCCAACGCGUGUGAGCUGUGCUGCAUCCCCAAGUGCUGCUCCUGCUGCCAGCCCUGGUACCCAGCCUGGCCAUCAGCUUCUCCUUCCAACAGCCUGGGCUGGGAGAACCCCUCCACCCCCUAAAUCCACUCCUGGAGUCCCCUAAAUCCACACCUGGAAUCCCCCACACCCACACCUGGAAUCCCACAGCUGGAAUCCCCCACAUCCACACCUGGCUGCUGUCACAGCACAGCAAAGGAGGAUGGCAUCCUGAGCUCCAGCUCUGCUCUGCAGAUUAAAGCCAAGGGGCUCUGGGAAGAACACCCAAGGCAGAGGAAUUGCCAAGAGUUACCGGGUUUGGUGAUUUAAGUCAAGCAGAUUGGUGACCUGGGGCUUUCCUGGAGUGACAAUUUGCAGGCUUGCUUUUCAUUAAUAAUGGUUAACUAACAAAUUACUGUUGUUAUUAUUACUAUUAUUACUGUUAUUAUCAUUAAUGUUAUUAAAUAUUGCAGGCCAGGCUGCCUUCCCUGUGCUUGGCACAGCCUCAUCCAUCCAGCCUUGGCUCUGAGUGCUCCAUAGGUCUGUGUAGAUUCAUGUGCAAUCUAUAGAAUCUAUACAGGAAGGUGUUUGAUCUGAGUUUGCUUUCUUUGCUUAGAUGAGCUCUGAAGGGGCCCAAGAGCUUGGGAAAUUGGGAACAGAGGAAACUGGAGCCUGGUGGGUUUAAUGGUUGGCUGGAUUGUGGUGGGGAGCACCAUGACCUGUGCCCAAACCCAGCUGGGUUUCACCCCUGGGGUUCCCCAAAAGCUUUUCCAGCCCCCAUUUCAGGCCCUUUUUUCCUACACAGGUGCCCCAGCAGCAGCACUAACCCACAGGUGCAGCCACUUGCUUUGCAUCCAAAGGGAUGCUGAUGGGCAGUACCAUUCCCAGGCAGGAAAAAGAAACUUUUGGAUGCUGUGAAGGCAGCGGUGGCAGCACCUGCCUGUGUGCAGGCAUUGAGCUCACCUGGCCCACCACGAUGAACCAUUUCCUUCCUGAACACGAGCCCUCCGGGAUGUCCUGCCUGGGAAAUGAAAUCAGCUCUGAAUGGGAAGUGCAACCAAGGCUGGCCCAGCCCAGGAAGAAAAAGGGCAGCAAAAGAAAAACAAAUUCAGAAGCUGGAAUGGAAAAAACAAAAAAGUUAAAUGCUGUGCGUGCUGCUGUCCCUGUCACUCCCCCAAUCCCACAGCCACGGUCGGGAAGGCUGGCUUGUUCCACCAGGGUGGUGCAGAAAGGGUGAUUUUUCCUUUAGCAGGAUUCCUGCUUCACCACAGUCCUUUUCCUCCAGCCCUGGCUCUGGAGCAGGGAGCAGCUGGGUGCUGAGCCCGCCGCAGCCCAGGCGGGCGAGGGCAAGCAGGCGUGAGCUGAGACGGGGAGCCGAGAGCUUUAUUUUUAGUCCUGGUUUAACAAGUAUUAAUUAAUAAGAGUGCAAAUGCUAAUGCCGAGAUGACACAAACUGCGUUGCCUGAAAUGAAUGUUUGGGGCUUGUCUGUGCCAGGAUUUACAGCCGGGUGGGUUCACGGGGGCGAAAUCAUUGCUCAAACUGCAAGGAUAAGCUGAGCCGGCUCCUUCGCACGNNNNNNNNNNNNNNNNNNNNNNNNNNNNNNNNNNNNNNNNNNNNNNNNNNNGGAUCGGGGCUGGGCUCGGGGCUGGCUCCGCAGCAGCGCCUUGUGGUGCCACACCAGCUCGUCCCUGCCUGCCCAAAUCUCCCAGCAAGUUUUGCAAAGUGCGGGUUAUUUCAGGCUCUGCCCGUCGGAGGUGCAGGGUCGUGCCUCGCAGUGGGAUUCUUUCAGCUAGUGAAGACUUCAGUCUUUGGAGAAAAGGAUUCUCUUUCCCCUGGUCAAAUCCCUCUGUCCUGCUCAUUUCCUCCUGCAUCUUCUUGCCCUGAGAGCUGGGCUUGGCUGGAGGGCUGGCAGGAGAAUGAGGAGGUGAAGAAACAACCCAUGGCAUAAAGACUUGACUAGUUUUUCCCACCAGCACGAGCAUUCUGUCUGGUUUUGUUGGCAUCACAGAAAUUAUGAACUUGAAGCAGCUCCAUCACUGUUAAGGCUGUUUUAGGAUGAUUUUAGGUUUCCAGUGAGGUGCUGUGAGACAGUGAUGGUGGCUUGGGGUCCUGUGGGUUGUCCAGCGAGUUAAACCUCUCCAGUGGGGUUGUUGAAUCAGAGGGAAGAGCUCAGUUAGGCCAGAUCCAGGCCAGGUUUUCCUCUUUCUUUCUCCUCUCAACUGCAGGCAGGAGGGAGCUGCUACCUGCCUGACACAGCUGCUGCUGCUGCUUUGGAAGCCCAGCUGCCUCCAGCGAGCCCUGCUCAGCCAGGAUGGCAGGGCAGAGAGCUGGGCAGUGUGGCCAGUGCAAAUAUACCAUGCACUGGGAGCCAGGGACACUGCUCGGUGCCCACACUGCAUCCUCCCUCUGCAUCCUCCCAGGGCACACCUCAUCCUCCCCAGAGUGCUCGCUGCAUCCCCCAGCAGAGACAGAACCUGGCAGGACCCCCAUAGAGGGACUGGAUCCCUCAGCCUUGCCAUGCCAGGGCUCUCCCUGUCACCUGAGGGGGCUCAGCUGCCAUUUUGGGAAAGCCAAGAGGGGCUGAGCUGUUUUUUCCAAUGGGCUGGAAGGAUACAGCACUGAGAGUGGGCAGGGAGGUGUCACUCACCAGGGUGAUGUGGUGGGACUGUGGGGGGCUGCACUGGGGCUCAGCAGUGUCAUAAAACCCCUGGUCUGGGGUUUGGGUGGUAGACUGGAGCCACUGUGUGACUGGAGCAGGUUUCUUGGAUGCAAUGGUUAGAUCUUAGAAAUUAAAGCAAUUUAGCCCUGCCUCACCCCAACCAGCAAACAUCCCCAUGCCAGGGCUGGGGCUGAGGAUGCUCUGGAAUCCUCCCAGCCCCUCACCAGCCCACAGGGACCCAACCAGGGCCCUGGGGACCACACAAGCCAUCCCCACCCAUGGCCUCACCAAACUCUCCCAUGUCCCUGGGCUGGAUGAGGCUGCGGCUGGGUUUCCAGGGAGGGAUGCACGGCAGGAUGGCGUGGCCAUGGCCCAGGGCUGGCUCCCCAGACAGCGCUGCCACGCUGCUCCUCAGCAGCUCUGUUCUAUCAUCGAAUUUUAAUUUAGUUAGUUGAGUUCUUUAAACAGUGUGAACUUGCUAAGUGCUUUGCAUAUUUUAUACUCAUGAGUAACAUUUAUCAAACAGAAAGUACAAUUAAUCAAAGAGGGGAGCGUUUGUAACUUGGAGCAGUUUGUAUUCUCUCUCUUUUCCUCCCUGCUGUACCUUUCCUCUGUGUCUCCCUCCUCUUCCUCUUCACUGCUCUGCACUGGCCAGGGAACCAGGACACACAUAUUCCCUCUCUCCCACUUUUCUCUCACCAAAACCUGUAAACCAUACAAACACAUUAAAAUGUUUUUUAUAUUAUGUAUGUACGUAUGUAUAUUUGUACAUCUAUGUAUCUAUAUCUCUGUACCUAUACAUAUGUUUAUACCUAUAUCUAUCUGCCUAUCUGGUAUACAAAUACAUGUGUAUAUAUGAAUUAUGUAUAUGGUAUGCUGUAUAUAUAAUAUAUGUAGGAAUAAAUGGUCCAUUUACACUAUAUAUAUAUGUAUA
ensembl:lncRNA